rnacentral:rRNA from 1 species
CAGUCGCCACGGUAAUACGGAGGGUGCAAGCGUUAAUCGGAAUUACUGCGCGUAAAGCGUGCGUAGGCGGUUCGUUAAGUCUGUUGUGAAAGCCCCGGGCUCAACCUGGGAAUGGCAAUGGAUACUGGCGAGCUAGAGUGUGUCAGAGGAUGGUGGAAUUCCCGGUGUAGCGGUGAAAUGCGUAGAGAUCGGGAGGAACAUCAGUGGCGAAGGCGGCCAUCUGGGACAACACUGACGCUGAGGCACGAAAGCGUGGGGAGCAAACAGGAUUAGAUACCCCGGUAGUCCCUGUCUCUUAUAC